UAGGCGACCGGGUGAGUAACACGUGACUAACCUGCCCUUGAUGGGGGAUAACCUCGGGAAACCGGGGCUAAUACCGCAUAACAUCCUGUGGGUGCAAUUCCCGUUGGAUCAAAGGAGCAAUUCGCUGAAGGAGGGGGUCGCGGCCGAUUAGCUAGUUGGUAGGGUAAUGGCCUACCAAGGCGACGAUCGGUAGCCGGCCUGAGAGGGCGCACGGCCACACUGGAACUGAAACACGGUCCAG
rnacentral:rRNA from 1 species